rnacentral:rRNA from 1 species
UGGGGAAUAUUGCACAAUGGGCGCAAGCCUGAUGCAGCCAUGCCGCGUGUAUGAAGAAGGCCUUCGGGUUGUAAAGUACUUUCAGCGGGGAGGAAGGCGAUAAGGUUAAUAACCUUGUCGAUUGACGUUACCCGCAGAAGAAGCACCGGCUAACUCCGUGCCAGCAGCCGCGGUAAUACGGAGGGGGCAAGCGUUAAUCGGAAUUACUGGGCGUAAAGCGCACGCAGGCGGUCUGUCAAGUCGGAUGUGAAAUCCCCGGGCUCAACCUGGGAACUGCAUUCGAAACUGGCAGGCUAGAGUCUUGUAGAGGGGGGUAGAAUUCCAGGUGUAGCGGUGAAAUGCGUAGAGAUCUGGAGGAACACCGGUGGCGAAGGCGGCCCCCUGGACAAAGACUGACGCUCAGGUGCGAAAGCGUGGGGAGCAAACA